CCUACGGUGUGCUGCAGUGAGUAAUAUUGGUCAAUGGGCGCUAGCCUGAACCAGCCAAGUAGCGUGAAGGAUGACUGCCCUAUGGGUUGUACACUUCUUGUAUAUGGGAAUAAAGUGCAGUAUGUAUACUGCUUUGCAUGUACCUUAUGAAUAAGGAUCGGCUAACUCCGUGCCAGCAGCCGCGGUAAUACGGAGAAUCCGAGCUUUAUCCGGAUUUAUUUGGUUUAAAGGUGGCGUAGGCGGGUUUUUAAGGUAGUUGUGAAAGUUUGCGGCUCAACCGUAAAAUUGCAGUUGAUACUGGCAUCCUUGAGUACAGUAGAGGUAGGCGGAAUUCGUGGUGUAGCGGUGAAAUGCUUAGAGAUCACGCAGAACUCCGAUUGCGAAGGCAGCCUGCUGGACUGUAACUGACGCUGAUGCUCGAAAGUGUGGGUAUCAAACAGGAUUAGAUACCCUUGUAGUC
rnacentral:rRNA from 1 species